rnacentral:rRNA from 1 species
UACAGAGGGUGCAAGCGUUAAUCGGAAUUACUGGGCGUAAAGCGCGCGUAGGUGGUUUGUUAAGUUGGAUGUGAAAGCCCGGAGCUCAACUCCGGAAUUGCCUUCAAAACUCUUAAGCUAGAGUUCGGAAGAGGAGAGUGGAAUUCCCAGUGUAGAGGUGAAAUUCGUAGAUAUUGGGAAGAACACCAGUGGCGAAGGCGGCUCUCUGGUCCGAUACUGACGCUGAGGUGCGAAAGCGUGGGGAGCAAACAGGAUUAGAAACCCGUGUAGU